ensembl:lncRNA
UGACCUGCCACAAGGUGGCGCCAUCCGCGUCCCGUCCCCAGCCUGCGCGGCGGCGCACACUGCCCAGGGAAGCUCGGCGCGUUACGGGGAGUUCGGAUUGCGGACUGGGAAAAGCGUGGAAAAUCACAACCGACCGUGGAUUGUCAUUCGUUGGUGCGAACGUCGUUCCUUUCUGGUUUUCCAGAACGGUUCCGGAACCGUUCCAGGUCGCGAUCUGACACCGCGCUUCGCGUUCCAGUUCCACUCCAGCUGGCUCUGGAUAGGCACCUUGGCUGAGCGAGCAUCCCGGGGAGGGAGGUGAACGCGCGAUGCCUGACGGGCCAUGUCGGCCGAGCAGAGCUCCCACAUGCCUGCCGCACUGCUGCUGCUUUACGUGGCCGCUUUGACGUGGAGACCGGCCAGAGGGCAGUGCGCCACCGUCAGCGUGGUCAACGCCGUCCUGGAGAAUGUCCGUGUGAUGAAGUCGUUUGAUUGCAAACUUUAUACGCCAACCCUGCUACACUACAAGAACUGCUCUAGCUCAACAAUGAAGUGCUUGGUAAAGGAGGCCACUGUUCUGGGAAUGGAGAUGGAGGUCAAAUCUGACUUGACACGUGCCUUAAUUGGAAGACUGAAGUGGUCGGCUGUGGGCCAGUUAAAGGAUAAGAGCCCAGAUUGCCCACGUGAAUAUUGUGAGAACUUUUCCGAAGAAUAUGCAGAGGAUUUCCUAAAAACUGUCAAGGAUAUUAGUCAGAUCCAGUGUUCAGUGGUGGCCUAGCGGUGAAGGAAGCGUCCCCUGUAAUCAGAACAUUGCCAGUUUGAAUCCCGCUCCGUCAAGGUGCCACUGAGGUGCCACUGAGUAAAGCACCGUCCCCACACACUGCUCCCCGGGUGCCUGUCAUGGCUGCCCACUGCUCACCAAGGGUGAUGGUUAAAAGCAGAGACAUAGUUCGUUGUGUCACCGUGUGCUGUGCUGCAGUGUCUCACAAUGACAAUCACUUCCCUUUCAUCAACCAUUGAAUGUCAUAUACAUAAUAUAGUGUUGUAAAUGCCUUAAAUGUAAAUGUAUAAUGGCAGAUGGAUUUUUUCUGGUGAACAAACAAACUACCUCUUAAAUCAGUGUUCUCUUCUGUUCAUCAGCAUACAUGUAACAUUUACAUUUUAACUCAACAUUUUACCAUACGCAUGCAUACGUAUAUACAUAUAUAGAAUUGAGUAUAUUUCAGACCUUUCUGAAUGUUGAUCUUCUAAUCCACCUCAUAUACGCUAUUCUGAAUUGUGUUACAAAAAAACUAUUUUUUUCUACUUUUGAGUAAUGUUCUUACAUGUUAAUGUUCUUACUUAAAGUUCUUGACUGAG